UACGGAGGGUGCAAACGUUGCUCGGAAUCAUUGGGCGUAAAGCGCACGUAGGCGGUUCGUUAAGUCGGAUGUGAAAGCCCCGGGGCUCAACCCGGGAAGUGCAUACGAAACUGGCGGACUUGAAUAUGGAAGAGGGUCGCGGAAUUCCCGGUGUAGAGGUGAAAUUCGUAGAUAUCGGGAGGAACACCAGUGGCGAAGGCGGCGACCUGGGCCAAUAUUGACGCUGAGGUGCGAAAGCGUGGGGAGCAAACAGGG
rnacentral:rRNA from 1 species